rnacentral:lncRNA from 1 species
ACAAUUUUGUCAGACUUUGACACAUCGGCAAUCACACGAGCAGCACUCUCCCAGUAUGUCAGAUCUGCAGCUUUGCCAGCACCGAGACCCUGAGUUUUGGUUGGGGUAUUGACCGAAACAAAGACAAUAUCAGCCUCAGAGACAUGCUUCUCAACAUCGGUGCUGAAGAACAGGUUCUUCCCUCGGCACUGCUUUACCACACCAUCAAGUCCAGGCUCAUAGAUGGGGAGCUGGUCACUGUUCCAGGCAUUGAUCCGAGACACAGAGAUAUCAACAACAGCCACUUCAAUGGAUGGGCACUUCAGUGCAAUGACUGCCAUUGUCG